rnacentral:tRNA from 1 species
GGGCCUAUAGCAUAGCCUGGAUAGUGCGGUCGGCUUCAAGAAAUGUGAGAAAUUAUAUUUCUGGCCAGGGACCGAUUGACAAGGGUUCGAAUCCCUUUGGGCUCA